AUUUCUCAUGUCAGUAGCUACUAAAUUCACCACUGUACAUAAGCAAAAUAUUUUGUCAAUAAGUUUUUUAUUUUUAUUAAAAUAUUUCCAAAUUAAACUGAGUGCUUAUGAAUUAUAAUUAUAGAUUUUUAUUGAAGAGCUCUCUAUUUACAAACAAAAGCAGAAAUCAGUCAGUGUCAUUGUAUAUGUAAUCUGUUGAAGGCAGAGUGGUUAUCAGUUGAUCUUGACUUGAUAAGACAGGUUAUAAAUAAUCCUUAUACCUGCUCUAUACCUCAGGUGGUUGAGUAGUGAAAGUGCAGUGCCCUGCUAAAAAUUAUCUGUUCACAGUAUACUCACAGUAUCCAAAAGUGAAAUGAGCACAACUUUGAUAUUAUAAUACUGUUACCGAACAGUGAAAAGGGGCCAGUGAAAAUAGUUCUUAUUUGGAGCACCAGGAUCGUUCAUGCCAGCUCUGUCUGAUUAUAUAUUUCUACACCUUGAAGUCAGUGACCUGAGAUAAAAACUAUUUCUCAGGGUAAUGGGAAGGUGGUAAUUCGAGUGCAUUUCAGCCAUUAACUUCCUUUGUACCUCAAACAGAUAAGAAUUAAUGGUUGAGUGCAAGAAAAGGAGAGUAUUUAAUUGUAUUCCAUCCAUGGAUUUUGUAAGUUCUAACUACUGCCACAUUGAAGAAAGAGAUUGCUGCACAAACAGUAAACAGUUAUAGGUCAGAUUGCUUGCCCUCAGGCCUUCUGACACUAAAGGCCAGCUCCAACAUCUCCUUAGAUAUAUCUAUUCUUCAGUAACCAACAUGAAUACUUCUCUUACCCUAAAGAUUCUUAGUUUUUACUAAAAAGAAAACAAAAAGGCAAAAAAAGUAUUUUAUGUAUGUGUAAUAGAAAAUACAAUAAAAAACUUAAUUUUUAAUAA